AGUGAACGCUGGCGGUAGGCCUAACACAUGCAAGUCGAACGGCAGCACAGUAAGAGCUUGCUCUUACGGGUGGCGAGUGGCGGACGGGUGAGGAAUACAUCGGAAUCUACUUUUUCGUGGGGGAUAACGUAGGGAAACUUACGCUAAUACCGCAUACGACCUACGGGUGAAAGCAGGGGAUCUUCGGACCUUGCGCGAUUGAAUGAGCCGAUGUCGGAUUAGCUAGUUGGCGGGGUAAAGGCCCACCAAGGCGACGAUCCGUAGCUGGUCUGAGAGGAUGAUCAGCCACACUGGAACUGAGACACGGUCCAGACUCCUACGGGAGGCAGCAGUGGGGAAUAUUGGACAAUGGGCGCAAGCCUGAUCCAGCCAUACCGCGUGGGUGAAGAAGGCCUUCGGGUUGUAAAGCCCUUUUGUUGGGAAAGAAAAGCAGCAGGUUAAUACCCCGCCGUUCUGACGGUACCCAAAGAAUGAGCACCGGCUAACUUCGUG
rnacentral:rRNA from 1 species